UCAGUCUGAAAGAGGCGCCCUCUUGAUUUAUGGGUCGUGCAAAGUCGAGCUAACUGACUUUAAACACAGCGCUGCGUGGGAGGCAACCCACGAGUUUUUAUUUUAAUGUUUUCAUUUGAAUUUGCAGAAAAUAAAGAGAUCGAUCGCUUAACACCCAUAAGUUGCAUUAUAGGCGUAAAUNNNNNNNNNNNNNGGCGUAAAUCUCCAGGUUUUGCACUCCAAUUCUACUCCAGAGUUGCAACAGUGAGGACACUGUUGAAUUUAAGUUUAGGGGAGCAUUUCACUACUUUUAUUUAUUUUUCAGUCAUUUCAAUUUAUUUCCCUUUUCGCAUAAUAAAAAAAAUUAAAUUUAUAGUGUUUUCUUUGGUUUUUCUAAAUUUUUCCUUUUCUUGAGCCAAUUUAAAUUUUUUUUUUUCUAAAGAUUUAGGACAAUUAUUCACUUUGAAAGUAUAUAGGUUAAGAAAGGAUGAGAGGCUAAGUUAAGAAAAUUAGGGAAUUUUACAACAAAAUCGGUAUUUUUCCAACACCCGGAAGUCUCCCUAGUAUAGAUAUCAAUUUGAAUAACCAUUGUGCCGAAAUCUCCUGAUUUAAAUUUGUGGAUUCCUUUAGUAGUUUAUUN
rnacentral:lncRNA from 1 species